rnacentral:lncRNA from 1 species
ACAGAAGGAAGAGCAGGUUUCUCACGGCAUGUCAGCCCAGGGCUCCCACAUGUGGCCUCCCACCCUCAUCUUCACACAUUCUCACACCUUCCGGAGUACAGAGGCGAGUGGGGUGCAGAUGGUCCUCCCUACAUCGGCCUCCUGCCCCCAACAGGAUUCCUCACAUCCCAGGACCAGCUGGAAAAGGUGGUGAGAGUUGGAAAGAGACUGCUCAGUGAGGACUGCCCUGCGAACCAGCUUGGAUUCAUCCCGUUCACCUCCACGUUCUGCACUCGGGGCCGAGGGAAGGGAGGCAGCCCAGGCAGCUAGAGAACUUGAUGAAACACACUCAAUCUGAAUCUCGCUUGAUCGUCAUGCUGACCCAGUGAGGGUCAGGCAUCCUUUCCGACUACUCACUCAGCAGCGGAUCCCCACCCGCCUCUGACUCCCAGUGUCUUUCGGCUCCAACGUAAGUUCACCGAACGUCUAAGAGCUGAGGAUUCAAAGGCAUGUAAGACCGCCCCUGCCCUCAGCUGCAAGACCUGUCCGCGAUCCUACGAGCCCCAUUCCGCCCUCUUUCCCCGACCUUGGUCCCCCAUGGGCCCUACAACCAGGUCCCCGACUGACACCUUGACCAGCGAACACAGCAAACAGGCCCGCAGAUGCCGCAGGUCCUUCGGCACCGUCUCCAGGGCCAUCUUCGCCGAUGGGAAGAACAACAGGGAGAUAGACGACCACAGCCUGUGCACCCGCAGGAAGUAAAUAGCUCGUUACCCAGAAUGCCCACCACUUCCGGCGCUUAGACUUCCUCUUCCGGUGUGGGCGGACGCCAGCUCCGCCCCUACCCCCGCCAGAGGAGAUGGUUUCUCCCGCCAGCAGGCGGGGAGGCUGGGCGGCCGGCCGCCACCUGGGCCGGAGCGCGUCGCAGCCACCUGAGCCCGCCGAGGGCGCGGCGGAGGCUGUGUGGGGUAGUCAGCGGGCCCCCGGGGCGGGGGGGCGGCUGCGCUUGCGCGGGAGUGUGUCGGGCUGAGCCGCAGCGCCGAGACGCGGGCUGUUUGAUCUGGGCUGGUGGCCCUGGGCGUCGGUCCUGUUCCCCGAUGGUAACCCGAAGUUUGUUUUUUUUUGUUUUGUCUCCCCGUUUUAGAAGCAUUGGGGGCAGUGAAUCCACUGUCUCCCUCUGGAUUGUCUCUGCAGAGACCGAGAAGAAAUCCAGGGACAGCCCCACCCCUCCUUCCUAACUGCGAGAGCGCUAUAGGGUUUCCACUUGCUUCCCACAGGAAUGCUGGCCUGGGAGCUACGGCGGAAAAAAAUGCGUAUUUAUCUUUUAAAACUCCGUCUGUUUGCUCGUUCCGGCUGAUAAUUUAUACUUUGCGCAGUUCUUAGCGCUUAGACACGGUUCCUUUACUAAAGACCAUUUGUAGGAGAUUAGGUGUCCUUUUUUUCCCUUUCAUUUCACCGUCUAGGAAGCGAAAUGCCUUGUUCUAUAGGCACUAAACCACCACCCCUACCAAACCUUUCUCGGGGAAGCAGAAGGGGAACUUGUGCCUUGUGAGGAAGCGACAAAGGCCCCUUCUGGCCCUGGAGACUUCACGCCAAUGGAGCACCAGCUCUCUGUCCUCGCAAUAGCCCGAGUGCAGGCAGAACGCAGUCAUUUGUGUUUAUCUGAGAGGAGCUUUGGGAUAUAAAUAGUUUCAGGCCCCGCUGCGCUGUCAUUCCAGCCCAGCCUCCUGAUUGAGCUGCUUCCGGGCGGGCUUUCUUCUUGUUGGCGGUCCCAUGCUGUGUUCAGAUGGGCUCUGUGACAGGUUUGGAUGUUUUCUAUCACUGAAUAAAACUUUCCACUUUGGAACAUAUUUUCUACACUCUAUUAUCUCAUGUAAGUCCUGCAACAACUAUUAAGUAGGCCCAUUUUAUGGACUGAAAAAGCGAGGCACAGAGUAUUUGCCCAAGGUCUGAGUCACUGAAGUAUGAUAAUGUGUGAAGUGAACAGUAUAAUAAUAAUGACUGAAGCACAGUAAGAAUCCAGUCAUGCUUUCUCCUUCCCUGAUCUCACUAAGCCACACUUUUAGGGGCUUACAAACCAGUUCUUAUUGCCAAGCCCUCUACUCUACCCUAUCCUUUCAUGAAUCGGAGCCUAGCCUCUGAUAACAUAAAUAAUUUACUUCUCUUGAUGUAGAAAGAGAUGACGUUGUUACCCUGAGUGACAGUCACGACAGAACAAAACCACAAGACCAGACCACAUUUGUGGAUAAAUAUAUUAGCAAAUAAAUAUAUUUCUUAACAUAGUGCCUGAUUCAAGCGUCUGUCUGGUUCAGAUAUAAAUACCCAUGUGGGUACCUAGGUGCUAGUCUCCCCACUAACUGAGGGAAAAAGGUUCCCAGGUGGGGUCCUCUGCCCACUUUGCCACCACAUUCACAUUCCAAAUGGGAUAAUGCCUGAGGGGCCAAGAGUGGUCAGGCUGCCCUGGGGUGAAUGUCACCCUGAUGAGGCCCAUCAGCUCUUGUCCACUCAGUGAGGCCAGACUUGUGCUCUAAUCCACUCUCCUGUGGGUCCCUGGCCUGUAUGGCUUAUACUGGGG